UCUGGAAACUNUCUGACUUAAGUGCAGAAGGGGAGAGUGGAAUUCCAUGUGUAGCGGUGAAAUGCGUAGAUAUAUGGAGGAACACCAGUGGCGAAAGCGGCUCUCUGGUCUGUCACUGACGCUGAGGCUCGAAAGCGUGGGUAGCGAACAGGAUUAGAUACCCUGGUAGUCCACGCCGUAAACGAUGAGUGCUAGGUGUUAGGCCCUUUCCGGGGCUUAGUGCCGGAGCUAACGCAAUAAGCACUCCGCCUGGGGAGUACGACCGCAAGGUUGAAACUCAAAGGAAUUGACGGGGGCCCGCACAAGCGGUGGAGCAUGUGGUUUAAUUCGAAGCAACGCGAAGAACCUUACCAGGUCUUGACAUCCCGAUGCUAUUCUUAGAGAUAGGAAGUUACUUCGGUACAUCGGAGACAGGUGGUGCAUGGUUGUCGUCAGCUCGUGUCGUGAGAUGUUGGGUUAAGUCCCGCAACGAGCGCAACCCUUAUUGUUAGUUGCCAUCAUUAAGUUGGGCACUCUAGCGAGACUGCCGGUAAUAAACCGGAGGAAGGUGGGGAUGACGUCAAAUCAUCAUGCCCCUUAUGACCUGGGCUACACACGUGCUACAAUGGUCGGUACAACGAGUUGCGAGCCGGUGACGGCAAGCUAAUCUCUGAAAGCCGAUCUCAGUUCGGAUUGGAGGCUGCAACUCGCCUCCAUGAAGUCGGAAUCGCUAGUAAUCGCGGAUCAGCACGCCGCGGUGAAUACGUUCCCGGGCCUUGUACACACCGCCCGUCACACCACGAGAGUUUGUAACACCCGAAGUCGGUGAGGUAACCUUUUAGGGGCC
rnacentral:rRNA from 1 species